GACGAACGCUGGCGGCGUGCCUAAUACAUGCAAGUUGAGCGAUGAAGAUUGGUGCUUGCACCAAUUUGAAGAGCAGCGAACGGGUGAGUAACGCGUGGGGAAUCUGCCUUUGAGCGGGGGACAACAUUUGGAAACGAAUGCUAAUACCGCAUAACAACUUUAAACAUAAGUUUUAAGUUUGAAAGAUGCAAUUGCAUCACUCAAAGAUGAUCCCGCGUUGUAUUAGCUAGUUGGUGAGGUAAAGGCUCACCAAGGCGAUGAUACAUAGCCGACCUGAGAGGGUGGUCGGCCACAUUGGGACUGAGACACGGCCCAAACUCCUACGGGAGGCAGCAGUAGGGAAUCUUCGGCAAUGGACGAAAGUCUGACCGAGCAACGCCGCGGGAGUGAAGAAGGGUUUCGGAUCGUAAAACUCUGUUGGUAGAGAAGAACGUUGGUGAGAGUGGAAAGCUCAUCAAGUGACGGUAACUACCCAGAAAGGGACGGCUAACUACGUG
rnacentral:rRNA from 1 species